rnacentral:lncRNA from 1 species
UUAGUUAUUUAACUAGGCCAUAAAUAUAGGAUCAUUUAUUAGGUGUGUUUUAUAUAAGGGAAAUAUGAAAGAGUAUACGUAGAAGAUUGAAAAAUUAAUAAGUAUCUAACUUUAAAAAAAAAAAUUAAUUCUCUCUUAUACCUACCUAAAUUGGACGAAAAUCUAUACUAUUAAUUGGGAAGUACAACUUGAAGCCAAACACCCCUAAUUUAAAAAAAAAUUUCAUGAAAAUAAAAACAAUUGCCAAACAGAAUUAAUGACAGCAAAAAAAACAAAAACUAAC